rnacentral:pre_miRNA from 1 species
GCCUGAAAGAGGAAGAGUAGAUGGUCUUAGAGUAGAGGGAAUGGGAACAUGGAUGAAAUCCUAACUAGCAUGGUUUUCACCUCUAGUUUUAGAGGUUAGAACUUAGUAUCGUCUUUUCCGAUGCCUCCCAUACCUAUUAUUCUAAAGCACUCGUUCCUCUUUCUUUUUUUG